rnacentral:rRNA from 1 species
UAAGGAAUAUUGCGCAAUGGGGGAAACCAUGACGCAGCAACGCCGCGUGGAGGAUGACUCUUUUCGGAGCGUAAACUCCUUUUAUCAGGAAAGAAUAAUGACGGUACCUGAUGAAUAAGCACCGGCUAACUCCGUGCCAGCAGCCGCGGUAAUACGGGGGGUGCAAGCGUUACUCGGAAUCACUGGGCGUAAAGGACGCGUAGGCGGAUUAUCAAGUCUGUUGUGAAAUCUAGUGGCUUAACCACUAAACUGCUUAGGAAACUGAUAGUCUAAAGUAGGGGAGAGGUAGAUGGAAUUCUUGGUGUAGGGGUAAACUCCGUAGAGAUCAAGUAGAAUGCCCAUUGCGAAAGCGAUCUGCUGGAACCUAACUGACGCUGAGGCGUGAAAGCGUGGGUAGCAAACAGG